UGUUUUGUGGCUCAGUUGGUUAAAGUGCCCGAACUACCGAUACGGAAUCGUGGGUUCAAAUCCCAUCAAAAAAG
rnacentral:tRNA from 1 species